AGGAGGGGGAAGCAGGAGGAGGAGGGGGAGGAGGAAGGGCGUAAGGGACACCCACACCCCACACACAUCCACACACACACACACCCGCGCAGCCACAUAGAGAGGGAGGAAGGAGAGCGGCCCGGUGCGCGCGCGCAGAGAGAGAACCCGAGACAGAGAGAGGGAGAGGGUGAGAGAGAGAGCGAGAGCCAACCACCGCCGAGUCAAGAUUCAGCGAUUCCACAGCAAUCGCCCUAAUGACAACAGCCUCAUAAUAUCUCCCCUAAAUCCACAAUCUUUUCUACAUUCCGAUGCAGAUCUGGGUGUGAGGCACCAAGUCUACACCACUUUGGAGAUCUCAAAGAGGGAAGCCAGAGAGAUUGUGAGAGAAUUUAAAUGGGAAACCUAACACGACCGAGGCUGUAAAUGCCCCAGUCCCUAAACCCCGAGUUCUGGCUCUCCUUAGGCCCUGACUCCCCCAGCGCCAGGCCUCCAGGCCGAGAAAUGCAAACUGCUUUGGAGGCUCCACAGCCGCAGGGAGGCUGGGGCAGGGUGAGGGGACUCCCCCCCCCAGCCUCCCCCACCCCCCCACCAGUCCACUCAUCCCCGCGGCCAGGGUCGCUGGUCCUGAACCUGCUGACUGAGGGCAGGAAAAUAUUCGCCCAAAGGGAAGACCAGCCAAGCACCACUUCAUGGGGCUUCUUGUAUCUCUCCCUCCGUGUAUCUUCCUUCCAGGCCUGGGUCCUUUUCUGCUCAGCUGCGAAGCUCUGGGCGGUCGUUCACUGCGGGCCCAGAAAGAGCCCUAAGCUCGUGACCCCGAAACUGCAUCCCCUGGAGCCGAGGACCCAAGGCGCCGAGCGGGCGGGUGAACCCAGCCAGUCCCCUCCCAGUCCCCGCAACCCCCGCCUUUGGGUUGGGGCGACCCGGCCUCUCCCUGCCGCCGCCGGGCCAGCGGCGGCAGGAGGCUGGGCAGGUGCCGCGGGCUCUGCCGAAAGCGCUGAAAUCGAAAACCGUCGCCGCUCUAGGAGAACUGAGGCAAGUGAGGCUGAGGCUCAGCUCGUCGACACCGCUGCCCCCAGCCUCGGCCCAGGAGCCUGCCGACCCGCCUGCACCCCUCCAGCUCCCGGGGUGUCCCCGGCUUGGGGGUGCAAAGCUGGGCGGAGGGCGGAGGCCAGGCGCGCAGCUUUGUGCGCCUGGCCAGGGCCGGGCGAGGCGGGGCAGGCGCGCAGCCCGGGGCUGUCAGAGCCUCCCCGCAGAGCCGAGCUCCGCGCCGCCCACCGAGCCCACCUCGCGGGCCGGCAGCUGCCAGAGCCUCUCCGCUCCAGCCCGAAGCACCACGCCCGCCGCCCAGAGCCCGUAAGUUGAGAGUCCAGGAUUCUGGGGGAGGGAGGCGGGGCGGCCGGUCCGCGGCGCGGAUGGCUGGACUGGUUCCCAGCAGAGCUGGGAGCGCAGGCUCCGCAGGGUGCGGGCUAGGGGUGCUGACGGGGUUGGGGGGGUGGUGUGUGCAGCAUCAGAGCGUCCCCUCCCAAGUUCCCAGGCGCUUGUCUUGGGGAGGGGAGUUAGGAGCAGAAGGACCUCGGGUUCUGCGGCCCAGGCCGCCUGCCCCAGUGCUCUGGGGACCUGAAGCACUGGGCAGCAGAAGGCCAGGAGCUCAACUGGCAUGUCCCGCCCUAUUUCCAUCCCAGGAACUCCUAAUUCCAGACCAAACUGACAAUUUUUAG
rnacentral:lncRNA from 9 species